UGCCUGGCGGGGCUGGGCCCACUUCCUCCUGGCCCCCCAAAAGGAAUGCUUUCUUGUCUGGCUGUGUGGGACCCUCAGGGAAGAAUGGCAGUGGAGGCUCCCCAGGGAUGAAGGCUCUGUGGCUUGAGCUGAUGACAGCCCUGGAUCUGCCUAACAGCUCUGCUAAGAACCUCUGUAUAUGUCGCCUGGAACCCUUGGGCAGGAGUUUAUCUGGGAUACCUAACACACAAGUGGAAUUGCUGAAUGAUAGAAAAUAGAGAAUCUUAAGCAGGCUCACGCAGAGCCACACAAGGACUCAGUCUCACCACCCUGAGAUCACAACCUGAGCUGAAAUCAAGAGUCUGGUGCUUAACCAAGUGAGCCACCCAGGUCCCCCUGGGCUUUUUGUUCUUUGUUAGAAACUCCUCUCAA